rnacentral:piRNA from 1 species
UGGAAAACAAGCUGGAGGGGAUUGGC